GACGAACGCUGGCGGCGUGCUUAACACAUGCAAGUCGAACGGAAAGGCCCUGCUUUUGUGGGGUGCUCGAGUGGCGAAAGGGUGAGUAACACGUGAGUAACCUGCCCUUGACUUUGGGAUAACUUCAGGAAACUGGGGCUAAUACCGGAUAGGAGCUCCUGCGGCAUGGUGGGGUUUGGAAAGUUUCGGCGGUUGGGGAUGGACUCGCGGCUUUUCAGCUUGUUGGUGGGGUAGUGGCUUACCAAGGCUUUGACGGGUAGCCGGCCUGAGAGGGUGACCGGCCACAUUGGGACUGAGAUACGGCCCAGACUCCUACGGGAGGCAGCAGUGGGGAAUAUUGCACAAUGGGCGGAAGCCUGAUGCAGCAACGCCGCGUGCGGGAUGACGGCCUUCGGGUUGUAAACCGCUUUCGCCUGUGACGAAGCGUGAGUGACGGUAAUGGGUAAAGAAGCACCGGCUAACUACGUG
rnacentral:rRNA from 1 species